AUCAAGACAUGUAAUGUCAAAACACCUGGAAGCCACACAUCGUUUCAGCAUGGAACGCAUGCGAGUCUCACGAGACACAGGUGGACGCAAUUAGUUCAUUAACAGAACAUAUUUGUACGGAGAAUGCAGAAGAUUGAGCAGAGAAAGUCCCUGAGAAAGUCCGUAGGAUGAAACGUGUUGAAUAGAGAAUUCACGAACUUGGGUCUUUUCAUUCUGUUUUAUUGUUUUUAUUUUUAUGUUUGGUUUUUAUUUUUAUGGG